UACGUAGGUGGCAAGCGUUUGUCCGGAAUUAUUGGGCGUAAAGCGCGCGCAGGCGGCCUCUUAAGUCUGAUGUGAAAGCCCCCGGCUCAACCGGGGAGGGCCAUUGGAAACUGGGAGGCUUGAGUAUAGGAGAGAAGAGUGGAAUUCCACGUGUAGCGGUGAAAUGCGUAGAGAUGUGGAGGAACACCAGUGGCGAAGGCGACUCUUUGGCCUAUAACUGACGCUGAGGCGCGAAAGCGUGGGGGAGCAAACAGG
rnacentral:rRNA from 1 species